rnacentral:lncRNA from 12 species
ACAGCAUUAUGGUGUUCUUUAAUUCAAGAUUCAUUUUUUUCCCUACAACCACAAUAUGAAUAAUAAACCACUCAGAUUUAGCACUUAUAGAUACUUUAUUCCUUUUCUAAAACUAGUUAUUAUCUGAACACAAAAUGCAGGCAGUUAUUUGAAUGCUUUAUAUUUAGCUGUUGAUUCAUGUUCUUUUAACUAUGUCCGUAGGCCUGAGCUGGUAUCUAGUACAGGAAGUAGCAAAUAUUUGAUAAAUUUUGACAUCCACAAAAUCUGGAAAUAAAUCAAGUCCCCAGAUGCUUGGAGAUACACACUGCAGGUGUGUAUUGAUACUCAUGCAUGCGAUAGCUCUACGGUUCUAGGAGUUUUAACACAGUGAUGGAGAGUUCAAUGAGAACAAAUGCAAAAAUCACACGUUCAUCGCCAACAGACUUCACUGCAAGUGCUAGGAAACACGUCCAGGAACACUGGACAUCCUGGUUCUUCACUUUCCUGGGAGAGAACCCCUAUAUGCCCCGUGCUGUCUGCGGGAGACGAAUCCACGUUAGCUACGUCAUUGGUCCUCAAGAUGCUUCUGAUGAUGAACAACAUAUGAGAAGAUUCUUUCCCAGGUUCCCUCCACCGCCUUCCUCUUGCUUUUCUACCUAACACACCUCUGUUCCUAUUUCAGCAGUCACCCCAGUAUCACCUCCUCAAAGACCACCCCAUGGGUCGCCUGCUCCCUGACAACCCCAGC